GAGCGGCGAACGGGUGAGUAACACGUGAGUAACCUGCCCUUGGCUCUGGGAUAAGCCCGGGAAACUGGGUCUAAUACCGGAUAUGACUCUUCACUGCAUGGUGAAGGGUGGAAAGUUUUUCGGCUGGGGAUGGACUCGCGGACUAUCAGCUUGUUGGUGGGGUAACGGCCUACCAAGGCGACGACGGAUAGCCGGCCUGAGAGGGUGACCGGCCACACUGGGACUGAGACACGGCCCAGACUCCUACGGGAGGCAGCAGUGGGGAAUAUUGCGCAAUGGGCGAAAGCCUGACGCAGCGACGCCGCGUGGGGGAUGAAGGCCUUCGGGUUGUAAACCUCUUUCACCACCGACGAAGCUAACGUGACGGUAGGUGGGGAAGAAGCGCCGGCUAACUACGUGCCAGCAGCCGCGGUAAUACGUAGGGCGCAAGCGUUGUCCGGAAUUAUUGGGCGUAAAGAGCUCGUAGGCGGUUUGUCGCGUCUGCCGNGAAAACCAGNAGGCUUAACCUCGUGGCUUGCGGUGGAUACGGGCAGACUAGAGGUAGGUAGGGGAGANUGGAAUUCCC
rnacentral:rRNA from 1 species